CUCCAUGUCUAGAAAGGGUUAGAGUAGAGUGGUGGGAGUCAUUGGGCUGCUAGAUGGGAGGAAACCUCUCUUCCCCCCUCCCCUCAAUCGGGUUCUUCCCUGAUGCCGUAGAAGAUGCAUCGGUGAGGUUGGGUGCCAGGGUAGGGAGAGUGGAGACACUAAGUGGAAGUAGGAAUUGGGAGUCAGAUUCAGGAUUCCCCGGAACUGGCCUCUCCAUACUCCUGCUGCUUUUUGGCCCUGCCCUAAGGGCCUGACCAUAGCCCCUUUGCCUGACCACUCAAGUCUGUUCUCAGCAGAAAGCACUGCCUUUCUCUCAGUCCCGGAAUGGAUUCACCCUCAGUGGUCAGAGCUCGGCUUUUUUCCAUCCUGGAGCAUCAGUCCAGGGUCUCAUUAUACGUCCUAGGCUGGCUUCAAACUCCCGACUCUCGGAUCUCAGCCUCCCAUGUGCUGGUAUUAUAGGCCUGGAGCUACUACUACAUGUGGCCAAAGAGCUGAACUCUUUGUGGCUUUAGGGAUGUUUGCUGCCAAGCUAAAUGGGUUUUGGAGAUCAAAGAAGACACUUUGGCUCAAAUUAUGUUCUGGAAGCAUGGGGUUGAAAUGACCCGGAGAGUUCAGAAGACUCCAGCUGCCUGCCAUCAUCCAAGCCGGAAAUUUCAGAGCCAAAGUGAACCUUGUGCCUUGUUCUUGGCUACCCCAGCCAGCAGGUAAUAGAAGCCUUUCCAAAACUGCUGUUUAAAAGCUAGAUUUGAACUGGGGAUGUAGCUCAUUGAUAGAGUGCCUGCCUAGCAUGCAGGAAGUCCUGAAUUUGAUUCCCAGAACCACAUAACAUGAGGCAUUGUGGCACAUAAGCAAUCCUAGCACUCAAGAUCAGAAGUUUAAGGUCAACCUCAGCUGACUAGUCAGUGAGUUGGAGGCCAAACUGGGCUACACGAGACCCUGUCUCAACAAAACAGCAAACCUCAUGAAUUAGGUAUGAGAUCAUUUACCUGUGAGGUAACCCAGAAGAGGCUCUGUAUUAGGUGGCAAUUCACUGAGGCACUUGUCCCUGCUCAGGGACAGACAGAGGGAAUAGAGGAGGCAGGAGGAACAGUACCAAUGGUGAAGAGGAGGAAUAGGGAUCUGUGUUUCACCCUGAAUCCUGACAGCAACAAUGGGAAGAACUUCCUGGGCAUCUUUCUUUCCCUCACUCCGUGUCAGCAAUGAACAUGCUGGAGUGGUGCAGGAAGUGUCAUGGCUAGGCCAUUUCAGGAGCCAUCUUGAAUUCUGGAGUGAUAAUAGAUGGGCAGAAGGUAGAGGCCAAUAAUUCACGCUGAGCCCAGUUCUUUCUCUGGUGGAGAUCAAGUGAAGCCAAGGAGAGGCAUUGCUGGCCCCAUCAUCAGCUAAUCUCAGGCUCUAUGGUUGAAACCCCACCAGCAGAUGUCAAGUUCGAAAAUGAAACCUGAUAACCUCACUGUAAAAGUCAGGUCUCCAAGGUCAGUGUGGCUGAUCCUGGCUGGGUACCAGCCCCAAACUGUUUAAAGGUUGGCAAGGAAGACUCCUGCAUCCAAACCAAGUGUAAAUGGAGUUUCCCAUGAGGUUGGGUGACAGGUCAGUGUGAGUGGGGGUUGGGGUGGGUAGCAGCGGGAUCUUUCUGCCCUCUCCCUCUCCUCCUGGCUCUUGCUCCUUCUCUCAAACUUAGCCCCACACUGCCUAUUUUCUUGACUCUCCUAUCCAAUAAAGUACUUUUCAUUCAAAUCCUUGUCUUGGGAUCCACUUCUGGGGAAAUCUAUACCAAGAUGCAACUGUAACCACAAUUUAUUGUUCAAUCUGUAGGCUACCAAAUACAGGUUUUGGAGCCUCAGAACUGUCUUUUGGGAGGAAGUUAUACAAGUUGAGACCCCAAGAUAAGUUGUGAGUGAGCCAAAUGCAUUGAGAGCCCAACAGGGGAAAAUUCUAGUGCUGAAUGAAAAGCAGGGACAGUUUAUGAGCAGAAAGAAGCUGUGUCGAGGCUGGAUUUCAGCACGUAAAACCGGAGUGUUAAAAUUGAAAUGGCUGGGGCAGGUUGGGGCCUGAUUCUGGUGUGCCUUGUAAGAGGGUUGAAGUUUUAUCCCCGUGAGAAAUCACUGAAAGAUGGAGGCAGGGUACAGUAAAAUCCUUUUAUGUUUAUUAAGCACCCUCUCAAAUCUCUAAAUACAUACUUGAGAGCAGUCAUUAGCUCUGUGGUUGAUAAUGGGAAGCAAUAGAGUAGGUUGGCAUGUCCUAUAUAGUGGCAAUAGCCUCUGUUGAGUGCUUGGAUGGAACUGAUCCAAGCUGAGUGUCCUGGCUCUUUUUUUUUUUUUUUGUCACGUAACACAAGUUAGGAGGAGGGAAUCCUAAUUGAGAAAUCCCUCCAUAAGACUGGCAUGUAGACAAACCUGUGGGGUAUUGGCAUGAUUAAUGAUUGACGUGGCAGGACCUGGCCCACUAUGGCUGAUGCCACCCCUGGGCUGGUGGUGCCAAGAGGAGCAGUCAGUAAGCCGUGUUCCUUCAUGACCUCUACUUCAGUUCCUGCCCUGAUUUGAGGAGGUGGAACCUGAGCAUUGUAAGAUGAAAUAAACCCUUUUCUCCCGGAGAGGCUUUUAAUCAUGGUGUUUUACCAUAGCAAUAGAAACCCUAAUAUGUAGGGUUCUGGAAGUAUUUGAUUAGCAGGCCUCGGGAAUAUAAACCCUUGGAGAGGGUUGAAGUGCUACCCGUGAUGAUGUUCUACAGUGGCUCUGAGGCAACAAUGCCUAGUGAGCAUGGAACAAAACCUCCAACUGAGAGCCCAGAUAAAACUUUUGUUUUAAGUUGUUUACCUCAGGUACUUUGACAUGGUGAUAGAAAGCUAACACAGCUUUGCUCUCAGGAAAUGGAUUAGUGCCUGAUGAAAUAGCUGGACAGAACCAGCUUUGUAGAGACACAGUAUGAAGGUUCUCACCAGUCACUGAAUGCCCGAUCCCUUGACCCAGGUUGGACUUCCGAGCCUCUACAACUAUGAGCAACACAGUUCUGUUAUUCAGACAAUCCAGCUUGUGGUAGUUUGUUAUACCUGCACAAACAGACUAGGACACAUGUAUGCAUUCAUAGCAGGCUAGCUUGCAUGCAGCUUAGUUCCCAUAUCUUUAUGUUCAUAUGGUACAGAUGGACAAGUGUGUGUGUGUGUGUGUGUGUGUGUGUGUGUGUGUGUGUGUGUGUGUAUGUGUAUGUGUGUGGUAUGUGUGUGUGCUCACAUGUCCACAUCAUGGCCAGCCCUCUUUCCCACGAAGCAUGGCCUGAGUUCUUCAUUGUGGUUUAUUGAAAUUUCCCACCAAGGAGAGAGUUUGGGGAAGGUAAGAGGAAACCAUUAGAACUGCCAGGGAAUCUCAAAGGGAAAUGGAGGUGGGACAAUGGAGGAAAUGGCCAAUACAAA